GCCGAGGUGGUGAAAUUGGUAGACACGCUAGCUUCAGGUGCUAGUAGGGGUAACCCUGUGGAGGUUCAAGUCCUCUCCCCGGCACCA
rnacentral:tRNA from 1 species